UACGAAGGGGGCGAGCGUUGUUCGGAAUUACUGGGCGUAAAGGGCGCGCAGGCGGCCUUAGAAGUCAGAUGUGAAAGCCCCGGGCUCAACCUGGGAAUGGCAUUUGAUACUCUGAGGCUGGAGUACGGGAGAGGAGAGUGGAAUUCCCAGUGUAGAGGUGAAAUUCGUAGAUAUUGGGAAGAACACCGGUGGCGAAGGCGGCUCUCUGGACCGACACUGACGCUGAGGCGCGAAAGCGUGGGGAGCAAACAGG
rnacentral:rRNA from 1 species